rnacentral:lncRNA from 1 species
GCUCCUAAAAUCUGUCUAUUAUCUUCCUUAUCUCUCUUUGCAAAAUAUGCUUAAUAAGAUAAUAUUUAGUUAAUAGAUCUCUUUCUCAUUAUUUUAUUUUUGAUAAAAAAAAUCCUCUAUAUAAAAAGAGAUGGUGCAUAAUCCUCAAAUGCCAGUGAAAGCAGAAUCUAACUCCAAUUCAUAUGGUACAAUUAUCAAAAACUAUACCAGAUAUGCAAGAUAGCAUAGUCUCCUUCUUUCUCACUUCAACAUGAAUCUCUAAUUGGAAAAGAGCAAUAGUACGAGACUCCUGUUGUAUGCAUAGAUAAUUCUCUUGUCAUUAUAGCAGAAAAAUAUUUGCACAACUUCUAAUAUUUAUUUCCAAACACAAGGCUGGUUAAUUAUGGAGCUAUCACAUCUAUGAUUGUGGGUCCGAUGAACUUUUUAAAGUGUUUUCAUUUUUAUCUCUAUAUCAAUCCUAUCUUCUUUUGAUUUAUAUUCUCUUUUAGCAAUCUCUUUUAAAAGAAAUUUCUUUAAAAGAGAUAAAGAUCUAAGAUUAAUUAAAGGAGAUUGAGAGAAGAAGUCAAGGUUAGGACCUGC